AGCGAACGUUUGCGGCGGGCCUAACACAUGCAAGUCGAACGAGAAUCUCUUCGGAGAGGAAAGUGGCGCACGGGUGCGUAACACGUGGGUAACCAACCCCCUGAUCUGGGACAACCCGGGGAAACCCGGGCUAAUACCGGAUGUGACAUACGGAUUUUCGGGUCUGUAUGAGAAAGCCACGCAAGGGGUGUCAGGGGACGGGCUCGCGGCCCAUCAGGUUGUUGGUGAGGUAACGGCUCACCAAGCCGAAGACGGGUAGCUGGUCUGAGAGGAUGAUCAGCCACACUGGAACUGAGACACGGUCCAG
rnacentral:rRNA from 1 species